rnacentral:rRNA from 1 species
UACGUAGGCAGCAAGCGUUGUUCGGAGUUACUGGGCGUAAAGGGUGUGUAGGCGGUUAUUUAAGUUUGGUGUGAAAUCUCCCGGCUCAACCGGGAGGGUGCGCCGAAUACUGAAUGACUUGGAGUGCGGGAGAGGAAAGUGGAAUUCCGGGUGUAGUGGUGAAAUGCGUAGAUAUCCGGAGGAACACCAGUGGCGAAGGCGGCUCUCUGGAUCGACCCUGACGCUGAGGCGCGAAAGCGUGGGGAGCGAACGGG